UACGUAGGGUGCAAGCGUUAAUCGGAAUUACUGGGCGUAAAGCGUGCGCAGGCGGUUAUGCAAGACAGAUGUGAAAUCCCCGGGCUUAACCUUGGAACCGCAUUUGUGACUGCAUAGCUGGAGUACGGCAGAGGGGGAUGGAAUUCCGCGUGUAGCAGUGAAAUGCGUAGAUAUGCGGAGGAACACCGAUGGCGAAGGCAGUCCCCUGGGCCUGUACUGACGCUCAUGCACGAAAGCGUGGGGAGCAAACAGG
rnacentral:rRNA from 1 species